GGACCAUAUCUCCUGGGCUAUGUUUUGCUCAAAGAGGCCUCUAUACUCCUCCUUCCCAGUCCAGGCUGCAGAGACCAUGGAGCCCAGGGUACAGGAGGGAGAGCCCAAAUGUCAGAAUGCACCCAUGUCUGAGGUCAUCCUUCCUUUGAAAUACCUGCCACGAUGACUGCAGCUCCUGCAGGUUUCCCUCCCCAGGUCCCGUGGGAAGAUGUCCGUUAUCUCUUUGAUGAGAUCAUGUAUGGAGGCCACAUCACAGAUGACGGGGAUUGCAAACUGUGUCGGGUGUAUUUAGAAGAAUUCAUGAAUCCAUCUCUGAAGCUAGCUGCCCUGUCAGGAACACAUGCAUGUGGUGAAAAACCGAGACUUCCAGCCAACAGCCAUGUGAGCGAGCCAUCUUGGAAGUGGAUCCUCCAGCCCCAGUCAAGCCUUCAGAUGACUGCAGCUUUGGCCAACAUCUUGACUGCAACUUCCUGAGAGACCCUGAGCAAGAAUCACACCAUGAAGAUGUUCCUAGUUUUCUGAUUCUCAGAAACUGGCUGCCAUGUGAAGAAGGACAUGUUUGCUUCCACUUCUGCCACGAUUCAGUGUGAGAAUGGACUAAUACAGGGUCUGUGUUGGACAGGAAGGACAUGAAGAGAGGAAGGGCUGGUGGAGAGAAUGCAGAGUAGUCAUAAGACACGAGCCUCCUCUGAUGGUCGACUUUGCCUUGAGAACUCAGAUGACCUUGCCAGAAUCUUCUUAGAUAGCUUGGAACUCUAGAACAUUUCUACUCACCCUUCUUCCUUCUCCCAUUCACUCAAGGCCAGACCUGCAAUGUGAUCUGACAACUCCCAGCCUUACAAGGUUCUCUUCCAAUUUUCUCUCACAGGGAUUUUCCCUAAUAAAAUCAUCACACAUUUAAUC
rnacentral:lncRNA from 1 species